rnacentral:rRNA from 1 species
CGUAUAUUUAAGUUGUUGCAGUUAAAAAGCUCGUAGUUGGAUUUCGGGUGGGCUUGGCCGGUCCGCCGUUUCGGUGUGCACUGGCCCGGCCCAUCUUGCUGGCGGGGACGGGCUCCUGGGCUUCACUGUCCGGGACUCGGAGUCGCCGAGGUUACCUUGAGUAAAUUAGAGUGUUCAAAGCAGGCAUACGCUCUGAAUAUUUCAGCAUGGGAUAGCAUGAUAGGACUCUGGUCCAUCUUGCUGGUCUGUGGCACCGGAGUAAUGAUUAAGAGGGACAGUCGGGGG